rnacentral:rRNA from 1 species
AUUGAACGCUGGCGGCAUGCCUUACACAUGCAAGUCGAACGGCAGCGCGGGAGCAAUCCUGGCGGCGAGUGGCGAACGGGUGAGUAAUACAUCGGAACGUGCCCAAUCGUGGGGGAUAACGCAGCGAAAGCUGUGCUAAUACCGCAUACGAUCUACGGAUGAAAGCAGGGGAUCGCAAGACCUUGCGCGAAUGGAGCGGCCGAUGGCAGAUUAGGUAGUUGGUGAGGUAAAGGCUCACCAAGCCUUCGAUCUGUAGCUGGUCUGAGAGGACGACCAGCCACACUGGGACUGAGACACGCCCCAGACUCCUACGGGAGGCAGCAGUGGGGAAUUUUGGACAGUGGGCGAAAGCCUGAUCCAGCCAUGCCGCGUGCAGGAUGAAGGCCUUCGGGUUGUAAACUGCUUUUGUACGGAACGAAACGGUCUUUUCUAAUAAAGAAGGCUAAUGACGGUACCGUAAGAAUAAGCACCGGCUAACUACGU